ACUCGUAGAUGUAGACCUUGCUUUACUCUGCUUGUGCAUAGGCAGUGGGGAAAGUGUAUGCAAGAGUUCAUGCAGAAGUUAAUUUGGAGUUCAUGCCAGCUCUUGUCAGCUUAAUGUGUGGCUGAUUAAAUUGCAGCCGUACUCCUACAUUU